GCUUGAUGAAGCCCUAACUAUUAAUGUGAUAAGACCCCAGACCAAUAUGGGUUCUGUUCCUAUACCCAUCUCAUGAGGAAGCCUCCACAAGGGGGUUGGUGUGUGUGUGGUGCUGACUCCAAGCCUAAAUCCACAGCAGGCAGGUGGCUCUGCUAUGUGCAGAUGUCCAUGGCCCCUGGGAAGGUGUUCCUGAGUAGGAAGGUAAGUUCCCAGAGAGCAGGGCUCCAAGCAUGGGCAGACUGGGCAGGAGAGGCCCUGAGUGGGUAGAUGUCUCCCUUGACAGAGCUUGGAACAGACUCUUGGUCAGCAGCUAUUGAGGCUGGCUUUCCCUUAACUUGCCCAGGUUGGGACUUCAACACAGCUAAAUAUAAGGGGGGACUCUCAGUCUAUCACCAGCCUCUGUUGGC
rfam:Mus musculus chromosome 16, GRC primary reference assembly.